rnacentral:rRNA from 1 species
UACAGAGGGUGCAAGCGUUGUUCGGAAUUAUUGGGCGUAAGGCGCGUGUAGGCGGCUUUGCAAGUCGGGUGUGAAAGCCCUCAGCUCAACUGAGGAAGUGCGCCCGAAACUGCAGAGCUUGAGUGCCGGAGAGGGUGGCGGAAUUCCCCAAGUAGAGGUGAAAUUCGUAGAUAUGGGGAGGAACACCGGUGGCGAAGGCGGCCACCUGGACGGUAACUGACGCUGAGACGCGAAAGCGUGGGUAGCAAACAGG